CCUACGGGAGACUGCAGUGGGGAAUAUUGGGCAAUGGGCGCAAGCCUGACCCAGCAACGCCGCGUGAAGGAAGAAGGCUUUCGGGUUGUAAACUUCUUUUAAGAGGGAAGAGCAGAAGACGGUACCUCUUGAAUAAGCUACGGCUAACUACGUGCCAGCAGCCGCGGUAAUACGUAGGUGGCAAGCGUUGUCCGGAUUUACUGGGUGUAAAGGGCGUGUAGCCGGGCUGACAAGUCAGAUGUGAAAUCCCGUGGCUCAACCACGGAACUGCAUUUGAAACUGUCGGUCUUGAGUAUCGGAGAGGCAGGCGGAAUUCCUAGUGUAGCGGUGAAAUGCGUAGAUAUGAGGAGGAACACCAGUGGCGAAGGCGGCCUGCUGGACGACAACUGACGGUGAGGCGCGAAAGCGUGGGGAGCAAACAGGAUUAGAUACCCUAGUAGUC
rnacentral:rRNA from 1 species